rnacentral:tRNA from 1 species
ACCUUUUUAGUAUAAUAGUAUUAGUGACUUCCAAUCACUCGGCCUCAGCUUACCCUGAGAAAAGGUA